AAAACCCUCGUUUACCGUAGAAACAUUGUGGCUGAGACGCCCACUGGCCCAAAAAUCGCCGCGGUCCACCGCUCCAUCUACUUCUCCGCCCACUGUUUCUGUUUAGUAACAACGAAAACAUGACACUUCGUCGAUUAGUAAUUUUAACAUUUGUAAAUAUGACUUGCUGUUUCUGUUUUCUGCAACAGAAUUCCACAUUGCAGCAUUUUUCCCUCUCUUCCUCUUAAAUAACGGUGCGGCCGUGGUGGAAGUAGUAACCGCGC
rnacentral:lncRNA from 1 species